GUCUUUGUAGUAUAUUAAUUACCUUGGUCUUGUAAACCAAAAAUGGAGAUUAACUACUCUCCCCAAGAC
rnacentral:tRNA from 1 species